UGGCUAGUACCGUUUUAGUUAGGGCUUGUUGAAUUUGCGUUGCUUCGGUUUGUGUCGAGUUGCUGGUCUUAGUGUCUAGUCCUUUAGAGUUUCGAGUUCUUGUCACCAUCUAUACACAGCCGAGUAUUACCAUAUCUUCUCUCUGUCGAAUCUGUUGCGAAGUCUGAAUUGAAUUGUGGUCUUGGUCCGGAUCGAGUAGAGUUCCAAUCUGAGUUCAAAAAGAAAGAUAACUCUACUUGUUCGGCCUUACUCUAGAGAGAGAGAGAGAGUGUGGAGCGAAAAAAGUGUGUGGAGCGAAUUGCUCUUUUGUAUUCUUUUGUUCAUAUAAUCAGUUUUUGAGGUUGCCCAAAAAAAAAGAAAAAAAAAGAAAAGAGAAAAGAUUCAAAAAAAGGGGCUGUUUUUCAUAUUGAUUUUAGGUUUGUCCCACCUUGUUUUCGGGGGUGUGCUGUGGUUUUCCUUUGUGUCCAGGCUCGCGUCUCUAGCAUGGUCUAGCCUAGGACCAGCACAGUACCAUCAUCGAACGCUUAUUCAGCUCGCUUUUAUAACUAACGUGGUGCUAGUUCGUUCCUUGUUUCAGCCCACCUAUAGCUCCACAUACUCUACAGCUUGACAGGUCUUGUGCUGCAGCACCGAUACACUUCGUCCAUUGCUGUACACUUGUUGGCAGACGACCCCUCCUGUCAAGCAAGGUAAGAAUUGGUAAGAACUUGUGUUACAGGUUGAGUGUGAGCGACUUGCUGUAGCUACAUCCUAGUAGUUGUAGGGCUUUUAUUUCUUCACUUGCCUUUUUAUUGUCUUUAUCUUUGAACCAUGCCAGGGGCAGAUGAUGGUAACGAAACACCACUUACACCUCGCACUAAGGGCAUCAUACAACAUUUUAAAAGGAAAGUGAAGAUGCACACAGAGGGACUUGAUAACGACUUGCAGGUGACGAAUGAAAAGCUGGGGCAGUUGGAGGCUACGCAGAUUGCCACAAACAACAAGCUCACAAGUUUGGAGGAAUCCGUUGCUAGUGUGGACAAAAGCCUUGCUGCUCUCCUAAGGCGAUUUGAUGCUUUCCACACCGAAGAUAAAGAGAAGCAUAAAGAAGAAAAGGAGGGAGAUCGAGAGCACGGUAGUCAUGAAGAUGACUACACUGGUGAUACUGAACAUGAUGAUCAAGACACUCGUGAUCGACGUCACCUUCGUCACAACCGUAGAGGUAUGGGUGGCAACCGCCGACGCGAGGUACACAAUAAUGAUGAUGCUUUCAGUAAGAUUAAAUUUAAGAUACCCCUUUUGAUGGUAAAUAUGACUCUGAUGCUUACAUCACUUGGGAGAUUGCUGUUGAUCAAAAGUUUGCAUGUCAUGAAUUUCCUGAGACUACACGUGUUAGGGCUGCUACUAGUGAGUUUACAUAUUUUGCUUCUGUUUGAUGGAUAGAAUAUGGAAAGAAAAAUCCUAAUAACUUACCUAGAACUUGGGAUGCGCUGAAAAGGGCCAUGAGAGCUAGAUUUGUUCCAUAUUACUAUGCGCGUGAUAUGAUAAAUAAGUUGCAGCAGUUAAGACAAGGUGCUAAAAGUGUAGAAGAAUAUUAUCAGGAAUUACAAAUGGGUAUGUUGCGUUGUAACCUAGAGGAGGAUGAGGAACCGGCUAUGGCUAGAUUUUUGGGUGGGUUAAAUCGUGAAAUCCAGGACAUUCUUGCUUAUAAAGAUUAUACUAACGUAACCCGUUUGUUUCAUCUUGCUUGUAAAGCUGAAAGGGAAGUGCAGGGACGACGUGCUAGCGCAAGGAGUAAUAUUUCUGCAGGGAAGGCUAAUUCAUGGCAGCAACGCGUGGCUUCAACUCCAUCUACACGUAUUUCUACUCCAUCAUCUAGUGACAAGACUCGAGCUGCCCCCACCAAUUCAGUUGCGAAGACGAUGCAAAAGCCUGCUGCGAGUACUUCAUCCGUGGCAUCGACGGGUAGAACAAGCAACAUACAAUGUCACCGGUGCAAGGGAUAUGGGCACAUGAUGCGUGACUGUCCAAACAAGCGAGUUAUGAUUGUUAGGGAUGAUGGUGAGUACUCAUCUGCUAGUGAUUUUGAUGAGGAUACACUUGCACUGCUUGCGACUGACCAUGCAGGUAAUGAAGAUCAAAUAGAAGAACAUAUUAAUGCAGGUGAAGCGGACCACUAUGAGAGCUUGAUCGUGCAGCGAGUGCUUAGUGCACAAAUGGAGAUGGCGGAACAAAAUCAGCGACACAUUUUAUUCCAAACAAAGUGUGUCAUCAAAGAGCGUUCUUGUCGCAUGAUCAUUGAUGGAGGUAGCUGCAACAACUUGGCAAGCAGCGAUAUGGUGCAGAAGCUUGCCCUCAACACCAAACCACACCCGCAUCCCUACUACAUCCAAUGGCUGAACAACAGUGGUAAGGCAAAGGUAACUAGACUUGUGAGAAUUAAUUUUUCCAUCGGAUCCUACAAAGAUAUUGUUGAAUGUGAUGUUGUGCCUAUGCAAGCUUGUAACAUUCUGCUAGGUAGACCUUGGCAAUUUGAUAGAGAUUCUAUGCAUCAUGGUAGAUCAAAUCAGUAUUCUUUUCUAUACCAUGAUCGCAAAAUUGUGUUGCAUCCUAUGUCCUCUGAAACUAUUAUGCAAACUGAUGUUGCUAGGGCUACUAAAGCAAAGAGCAAGAGCAAUAAAAAUGAUAAAUCUGUAAUUGGUAACAAAGAUGAGAUAAAACUGAAAGGACGUUGUAUGAUAGCUACCAAAUCAGAUAUUAAUGAGUUCAAUGCAUCCACUUCUGUUGCUUAUGCUUUGAUAUGCAAGGAUGCUUUGAUUUCAGUUGAGGAUAUGCAAUGUUCUUUGCCCCCUGCUGUUGCUAACGUUUUGCAGGAGUAUUCUGAUGUGUUUCCAAGUGAUGUACCAGCGGGGCUGCCUCCACUACGCGGGAUUGAGCACCAAAUUGAUCUUAUUCCUGGAUCAGUUUUGCCAAAUCGUGCACCAUACAGGACAAACCCGGAGGAAACAAAGGAAAUUCAGCGACAAGUGCAAGAACUACUAGACAAAGGUUAUGUCCGAGAAUCUCUUAGUCCUUGUGCUGUUGCAGUAAUUUUAGUGCCUAAGAAAGAUGGAACAUGGUGUAUGUGUGUUGAUUGUAGAGCUAUUAAUAAUAUCACCAUUCGAUAUCGACACCCUAUUCCACGAUUAGAUGAUAUGCUAGAUGAACUGAGUGGUGCUGUUGUGUUUUCAAAAGUUGAUUUACGUAGUGGGUACCACCAGAUUCGUAUGAAAUUGGGAGAUAAAGGUAGAAAGCAAUUGAUUCUGGAACCUGGGGAUUUGGUUUGGUUGCAUUUGCGAAAAGAUAGAUUUCCAGAACUGAGAAAAUCCAAAUUGAUGCCUAGAGCUGAUGGUCCUUUUAAAGUGCUGCAACGAAUUAAUGAGAAUGCAUAUAAGCUUGAUCUUCCUGCAGAUUUUGGGGUUAGUCCCACAUUUAACAUUGCAGAUUUGAAGCCUUAUUUGGGUGAGGAAGAUGAGCUUGAGUCGAGGAUGACUCAAAUUUAAGAAAGGGAGGAUGAUGAGGACAUCAACACCAGCGAUACAUAUCCUACAUCCACCAGCGAUACAUAUCCUACAUCCACCAGCGAUACAUAUCCUACAUCCUCUCCGACACAACCUAUAGCUGGUCCUCUUACUCGUGCUCGUGCCCGUCAACUCAACCUUCAAGUAAGUUCAGCUUUAAACUCUUGUCAAUCAUAUUUAGACAAUGGAGACACGUGCACUUUGGUGUUGCUCAGGAAUAAUGGACAAGAUCAGCAAGGGAAGGUUCAACUGCAUUCAGAAUUUGAGGCAACACCAACUUCAAGGGCUGAUUGCAUAUGGGAAGAGUGAUAACUUAACAAAGGUGAUUGAAGAUCAGGUCCAAGCCUCCACAACAUCCUCUGUCAAGUUACCACGUCGUUUCUAAAGCAAGGAAACAAAGAGUCCAAACCCAACACGUUUUGGGAGUUGGAUUCGGACUGGAAAAUAACUCUAACUUGUAUGGAUCACCACGGCGUCAUAUGGACUCCAACUGGGACGUUCCUAUACUUGUUGGAAAGCUCAUGAAGGCUACUUUCCAAUGGGUCCAACCACAUAUCUAUGCGGCUUAUGAGUCGGGCGCAGUCCUUGUUUUCGUGCCGACACCUUUUUCUGUUUUGGUGCUGCGUCACCCUAUUUUGGACCAAUGGCCCAUGUAUCAAGUUGAGUCCAUUAGGGACGCGUCCUAGGGUUGGAGGACGACUCUAGCACCCCUUUGGUCGUCCUCCCCUCUAUUUAUUUACAUCUAGAGCCGCCAUAAACAACUGGGUUUUGUUUAGAUCAAGUUUAGCCUUCGCUACUUGCUUGUAGGCGCGCGUGCAGGAUCAGCCGCCCGCCUCCUUGUCUUCGGAACCCCAUUGUUGAUUAAGAUUCAGUUUAAAACCUUCAAUUCAUCUUGCAAAUUCAGUGCUUGUUUCCUCGUUCUUGCUAGUUCUUCGAUUGCUUGCAGGACGGGAGCCCUAGGGGCUGGUUGUCGCGCUCCACAAGAUCGUGACGGCUGUUGGACGUGGUGUAUCGGUUGCUAAGGCGCGGUCUUGAGGGCUGUAGUCGGGCCGUGAACGUCAUCUCCAUCCACUAAUCGAGUUAUCCACCGCCUCUCAUCGAAAGAUCAGGCCAAAAACCCUAGCGGGCUCGCAUCAGUUGGUAUCAGAGCAAGGUUCUUCGGUGAGAGACUUCUAAUCCUUUGCUGUUUUUAAUUAAUUUCCUAUAGUCCAGAAAAGCCAAAAAAAUAUAGUAGAUUAGUUUUCCAUAAUCCUAUUAAACCUUUGUGCUUUGGCUAGUACCGUUUUAGUUAGGGCUUGUUGAAUUUGCGUUGCUUCGGUUUGUGUCGAGUUGCUGGUCUUAGUGUCUAGUCCUUUAGAGUUUCGAGUUCUUGUCACCAUCUAUACACAGCCGAGUAUUACCAUAUCUUCUCUCUGUCGAAUCUGUUGCGAAGUCUGAAUUGAACUGUGGUCUUGGUCCGGAUCGAGUAGAGUUCCAAUCUGAGUUCAAAAAGAAAGAUAACUCUACUUGUUCGGCCUUACUCGAGAGAGAGAGAGAGAGUGUGGAGCGAAAAAAGUGUAUGGAGCGAAUUGCUCUUUUGUAUUCUUUUGUUCAUAUAAUCAGUUUUUGAGGUUGCCCAAAAAAAAAGAAAAAAAAAAGAAAAAAAAGAAAAGAGAAAAGAUUCAAAAAAAGGGGCUGUUUUUCAUAUUGAUUUUAGGUUUGUCCCACCUUGUUUUCGGGGGUGUGCUGUGGUUUUCCUUUGUGUCUAGGCUCGCGUCUCUAGCACGGUCUAGCCUAGGACCAGCACAGUACCAUCGUCGAACGCUUAUUCAGCUCGCUUUUAUAACUAACGUGGUGCUAGUUCGUUCCUUGUUUCAGCCCACCUAUAGCUCCACAUACUCUACAGCUUGACAGGUCUUGUGCUGCAGCACCGAUACACUUCGUCCAUUGCUGUACACUUGUUGGCAGACGACCCCUCCUGUCAAGCAAGGUAAGAAUUGGUAAGAACUUGUGUUACAGGUUGAGUGUGAGCGACUUGCUGUAGCUACAUCCUAGUAGUUGUAGGGCUUUUAUUUCUUCACUUGCCUUUUUGUUGUCUUUGUCUUCGAACCAUGCCAGGGGCAGAUGAUGGUAACGAAACACCACUUACACC
rnacentral:lncRNA from 1 species